CCAGUGACGGCCGUGCUGUGAGAACAGAUGGAGAUGCUCAUGGGGGGUCAUGGGCAGCAGACCCUGCAGCUGAACACCCCAGCCCUGCCUCAUACACCCGCCCCUUGCACAGCCGCCCAGCUAGAAUCCAGGCUGUGAGUCGGCCUCGGUCACAGGCACCUUGCCACCAUGUGAAUAAUGAAGGAAAGUGUGGCUCUGUCGAAUGCCAAGGUUUGGAAGGGUGGGUGUGAGCUCUUUCUGGUGGGUCUGCUUGAGCAAGCACCGUGCUACCCGGCUGCCGCAGGUGCCUCCAGGUCUCUGUCUUCUCCGCUGGCCUCCUUGCCUGGUUUUGCUGAUCUGAUCAAUUACACAUUAAGACAAACAGGCCUCUCACAUCGUCAGGCCUAGAAUGUUCCCAGACCCAGCAAGCUUGGGGCCUGUUUCCAGCAAGAUACGGCUGUGCCCCUUUCAGGCUCUGUUUGCCAUUUUCAUAGUCCUGGAGGAAUGGGGGGGCUUGGGUGCCCCAGGAGCAAAACCAGAAUCCUAUCCGAAGUGUUCUUAAAAUGUUCAUUUCUCAAGAAUGCAAGAACCCUGUUGUGAUUCAGGGCCUUGGUGCUAGUCUUCCAUCCCGCAAGUCCAGGAGGAAACCUCUCACUCAGGGCCUUGGCCUUGGCCUUGGCCUUGUGCAUGCACUUUCUCCCACACGAGCAGUGUCCCGCCACAUGGCACAGCUGCCCUGGAGGAGCAGGCCUGGUGGUGAAUGCAAAUUCCAUUGCAGAGGUUCUCCUAGCAACGUGGCAACAAUAACAAACCCGCAAUAACCUUUUGUCUCGAGCCGUACGAAGCAGCGUGGCCAUUCGGCUCACCAGAACACUCACAGGAUAUUCUGCGAGGGCAGAGAGCUUUCGAGCUGAAGCAUUGAAACCGGAGCCCCCCAGUCGCUUUCCUCCUGUCUGCUCUCAUCUAUCCAGGAAGGCACCAGGUCUGUGCUCCCAGAGCAGGAGGUACCCCAAGAGAACACAGGUAUGCAUCAGCAGGAAGCUGGAUCAGAAGCAGAGGAGCUGGGACUUGAACCCUGGCACUCCAGCACGAAUAUGAGAAGACUGAGGUUUAAGUGACUUGGUCACGGUAGGAGCAGGAAGCUGUGGGGCCAGGAUCCAUAAGCAGGCAGCGGCUGCCCACCCUGUCUGCUCCGACGCCCUCCUCCAGGACACCCCCCACCCAACAGCUCAUCUCAGCAGCGCCCUCUGUUGGGCGGCCGAGGCUGGUACAGUGGCCCUGCAGCGCCUCUCCCUCCCAAACUGGAACUCCUGGAACCGGGUCUCCGCGAGCUGUCCCCUUCAUCCUCACCCGGACCGUAUUUCAAAGGUGCUUUUCUUCAAAACUGGGGUUUGAAGGAAUCAAAAGCACGGUGUAAUAGCUGGUUCUGUCAAGCACCCAAAACUCCUUUCAGAAAUCAGACCGUUGGCAUUCCCUGAAGUGGAAACACAACCCUGUACCAAACACAUCAAAGACCCACCAGGUGUCCCGUGGCCCAUCCACCCUCUUCAGAGACGCUCUGUCCACAGAUCCAGCGUAUCGUCAACGAUUUCACGUCUGUGCAGUUUGUCAUCAGCCUCCGGGUCUUCUUGAAAUUUCCACAGUUUCAUUUAAUGGUCAACGCACUGGCUUGGGGGUGAGGGGGAGGUCAUUUGGCCUGAUGUCAGGGUCAGCUGUUGAGACUGAAGGUGUUUCAGCCUUUGCAAUGGUGAGAAGAGUGCAAGCUGAGCCUUCCAAUCAGCUGCGAAACUAUCAACGCUUCCUGGGUGUGGGUGUGUGGCGCUGAUAUGCAGUGGGAUGUAUUUUUCAUUAAAUACAAACAGAGUGCAAGCACAACUUUACUGUUUUCAGGAGUGUCCAUAAUUUCAAAAUUAAUCAUCUUCUUUCUUAUGCAUCUGGGUGAAUUUUGACUUUAUAACAGGCAUAAUGAUUCAACUACAGAGAAUAAAAACUAGCAAAAAAAAAAGCAGGAGGUGCCAAUAAAAGCAAAAAGAGAGAAAAAAGUUUCAGAGGAAUGAGGCUUUGCCAAACGAUAUACAACAGAGUUCCCUCAAAUUCAUUCUGAAAUGCCUCGUUUGGAGUUUAUUUGUGCUGGUUUCAUAGCCUGAAUCAAACCACAGAGGUUUCAUGUGUAAAGUAAGCACCGGUUUUAAAAUUCAUCUUUGGGUUAGGAGAGCAUCUCUUCUUAUUCCCAUUGUCUUGUCUCUUUCCAAAGCAAGAAAUUUAAUUUUUUUAUGUGACUGGAAUAGUCACAUGUCACAAUACAGUAGGACCUAAAACUCCAACAACUUUGGCUUAACUUUGCAAUUUUCUAAAUCCACCGUGAAAAGUAAAAGAAAGCUGGAUAAAUUAAAAUAUCUAAUAUUUUCCAACUGUUUUGUUUCUUCUCCUUUGCUGUAAAUUAUACAUGUUUACAAGAAGGAGUACAACUGCCUUUCCUCCUGUUGCUUGAAUCCCUUUGUCUACAGAAAGUGGAGCAUGCUCAUCCAUUAUUUAAGUUGCUGUUUCUAUAACUGAAUUAAUGUAUACAUCUACACAAGCAAAUGGGCUGCUGGAGUCCGUGUCCACACACACACACACACACACACACUUUGGUUUCAA